rnacentral:lncRNA from 1 species
CAAAUUAUACUGAAUUUAAUUUUAAAAUUCUUAAUUUGUAAACCUAACCAUUAUUAUCAAAGUGUAUUUUGUUCCAACAUUAUUUCUAAUGGUUUGACAUUUAUUAAAUAUAGUAAUUAGCUGGACUAAUUUUCUUUGUGCCAAUAAUUGAAAAAUAUGUCAUACAUUUGAUUUUAUAUGCUUCAUGCUAUACUUGGCCUUCUCAUGAACUUUUGAGAAAAAAUUUUCUUUCUCACUUUAAAGGACAGGAAAAAGAAUAAUUAUCUGUAAAAGGCAUCAAAAUGGUCCUGUAAUUUUUUUAAUAUUAUAGUAGUAUUUUUCUAGGGGAAGGAUUCCUUAUUUGUCCAUUCAGGAACACUGUAACUUGAGCAGUUAUACCUGAAUGACUGAAAAUACGUAAACUCAUU